rnacentral:lncRNA from 1 species
UACAGCAAUGAGCCAUCCUGGAAUCUGUAAAGUCUUUCAGGCACUGGAACCCAACAUCUCAUCCGAAAGUCAUCUUUCAGAGCCAGAUUGACACUUGCUUCCUAUGAAGUUCAUCUUGACGAAAAUCCUCCUCCACUGUUAUCAUUGGGAUUGAGAGACACUAGUCAGUCUCUGCCAGUGGCCUGGACUGAAAACACAUAGGUGCAAAAGUUAUGAAUCAGCCAUGUCAGGCUGUGAGCACACUGAAGCCCUCCAACCUGGCCUGUAGAGAAAAGCAGAGACAAAUGGAGAAUGAGAAUGAACGAAGUGGUGUGCAAACAGAAGCAAAGAUGAAGAGAUGGACUGAACAAGCAAGAGAAAAGGAGAAAGACUGCCUGCUUAAAUAAACACUGACACAUUUUCUCUCAAGUUUACACAGUCUUAGUUCAAGCAGCCCGUAGAAGUAACUCAUA